GCGUUCCUGGGUAGGGCCAGCGCUCAGAGCUGUGACCUGCUGCAUCUGUGUGCUGUGCUCACCUGCUGCAUCUUUAUGAUACUGAGGCACAUGAAACAUUCUGCAGGACAGCAAAGCAUGUUGUUAUUCAUCUCCCCCUUAAGACUGAAAUAAACCCCUGUUCAUGAAGACCCCAUAAUUUACCAUCAGUGUGGUUCAAGGGGAAGCAUUGCUGGGUGAACAAGCUCAAGCUUUCUAUUUAAGGCCUGAGAUGAAGCUUAUUAACGAAUGAAGUUGACUGAAGCCAGUCAUCUACAGCCAGUGAGAGAGAGACACGUAGCUGCUUUCGUGGUGAUGAGACCCACAACUCUGGAGAGCAGCAUAUCCAGUCAUCACAUCACGUUUAAGACAGAAGUUUCUCUCUCUGAUGCUCAGCACAAAGACAACCUCCAUCUCUAGCUUCACUUAGGCUUGUAACUUUUAGAUCAUUGCAUCUAAAUUACAUCCCAUCGCAAGUGCUAGACUAUCCCUUUGGCUUGAAAUGGCCUCUACAAAUCUUUCCAUCUAAUAAUGGACUGAAAUACAAAACAGCUUAUCCAAACUGCUCUUCACACAACUUGUUUUUGGAAGUCCUCAUUAAUUACAAUUGGGUAUAUUUGUUAGAAAAGGGAGGAUUUUAUUUCACCUGCAUUGUUUUUCUUUGGGGGUAGGAGAUAUAUCCCAUAGUGAGAUGGGUUCUUCACACUCGUGGUCUUGAAGGGUGCUUAAGGAACCAGUUUGGCCUCUGGCAAACCAUGUCAUUUUUGUACUAUUUGUGAUUAAAUGAACUCUGUGUGCUGCUCUGCUCUCCCUGUCUUUCCUUCCCUUUCUGGAGUGUCACCGUAGUGGCUGCCUCAGCAGAGGGGCAGGGACAGUGGCUGUGAGUUACCAACUCUGGUUUAGCCCUGCUCUGGGAUUUUUUUCCCUUGGGGGAUUCCUCGACUGCCCUGCUCUAGAGGUGGUGAUGCACAGGGGAAGGUCAGGGAUCUCGUCCUGGGAGGAAUGCAGUUUGCACUGUUGCUGGACUAGAAAACAAUGCUUUAAAAAUUUUAUUUUUGUUCUUUCACAUGAUCCAUUCUUUUAAAAAAUUUGUAGGAAAAUAUGCUUCCCUUUAAUUUCCGAGAAGAGUGCUUUUUUUUUUUUUCUUCUUUAAAAUAGAGUGAGUAAUGUUUCAGCUUUAAUAAAAGUAACUCUUUCUGAUAUACUUUUUGAUUCUUACAUAUAUGUGCUUAAAGUUUCAACUUAGUGUUCUUAUGACUGGUCAUAUAAGCUACUUGGUCUGUUUUUUAAGUGUUUGUGUUUUUAUACAUAGUAAACCUUUGAAUGAAACGUACCUAUUUAAUAUGUUACAUCUUAACUUCUGCUUAACUGAACCCUUCUAUUAUUAAUGGAAAAUAUCAAGGAUUUCUAUAACAUGUCCGUGCUGGGAAAAUCUUCCUGGUUUUGAAACCAGAAAACUUAAGUGUUACUUUGCACAACUCUGCCUCUCUUAGUAGAUAAUAAACAUUUUGUUGAUGGAUUCUGUGCUGUGACAUUGGUAAUGAAGGAGAUGCUAGAACAAGAAAACAUGAGAUGCUAGAACCUGAAAAACAUUGGUUUCCAUCAUAAAUAAGCUUGUUGCUAGUUUUUUAUUGUAUAUGCCUGUUAAAUUUAUAGCAUAACCAUAUUUUUAUGACAAUCAACUUGUUUGUAAUGCUUUAUUUAACUGGAGCACCAUGCUGUUUUAGAGGCCUUACUGUUGCCUCAGAAUGCAAACAUUGUCUGCUGCACUGGAGCUGGAGUGUCUGUGGGUGAAACAUUUGGCCUCAUACCUUUUGGAUGCUGGUGUUUUCCAGGGUUACAUGUAAAGUCCUAUAGCAUUUUCAAAAAGAGAAUAAUCUUUGAGAUUUCCUUCUUGUGCUCACCCUACAGUCAAUAAAAAUUUUUUUUUUUUUUUUUGCAAAACCACCCAGCAGUAGCCACUCACCCUACAUCCUCCAGGCUUUCAGCAGGAGCAGUCUUAAGCCAGUGCUGAAUGUUCGUGCAAGUUCCUCUUGCUAAGAGUUGCCUCUGGUUUGCUGUUACACAUGUAAUGGAUGCUCAGGUGAUUUAAAUGCCAGAAGAGAAAGUUGGUUUUUUUACCUUCUGUCAAGAUUUGCAGUAGGAGCUGGACAUCUUUAUUCCCCAGAGGUCCUCUGCCCUGCUGGGUACCUCAGAGUGAAAUUCCCAUCUUCAUUCUGUUGCCCUUUUCCCAGCAAUUACUAUUUUAAUUUUCCAUGUAAGAAACUCUGAUAAUGCCAGCUAUAUGUCAUUACCUGGUAUCAUUCAAAUACUAUUUGAUGAGUGUUUCCAAAAGCAGUAGGAAGGCUUACUCACCACCCUUUAUAGUAUAUUGACUUUUUUCCUAAGUGAUCAUGGUGUCCUUUACAAAAACUGAUUGAAAUUGUCUGAUAAUACAUUGUUCCUGUUACAGUAUGUGUGACUUCACAUAGCUGUUUAUUCAGAUUAGGUAAUUUAUUUGACAGUAAUCAUAUUUUAUGCAAUUUUUAAAAUGUUUAUGGGCUAUUUUAAGUGGUCUUAUGGGGUGAAGUGUAGGUACUUAUGGCUUGAUGUGUACGCGAGUGUAUGAAAAUAUCCACUGAAAUUGUGUAUUAAGCUGAGUUUAAGUGUGGUAGAAUUUUCCUGGGUUUGUUAUUACAUUUCUAACUAUACUUACAGUGUCAGGUAAAAUAUGUGAAGAUGCUCUGGAAUUUCAUGAGGUGUAUCUCCCAUUUAAAAAUCACUUCUAUAAAGAUUUUGUCUUUUGCUGGUACUCAAUUAGUUUAACAAACAAAACAGUUUUGUAGUAAAAAAUACAGUAAAUCAGUUGCAGAAUUCUGUCUGAAUGUGCAUAAAAUAAUUUAUUGAACAUAUGUUUUUUCAUGCUACUGGCCUAGCAGCAUGUAUUUGAUUUUGCUCCUAGUAGCAGCAGCAGAACUUGAAAUGCUGCAGUUUUAAGUGAACUUCCAGGGAGUGAGGAGUGUGGUCUCUCAGACCAUGCUUGUUUUUUUGAUGUCACCCCGAGAAAAAUAAAUUUAAAAUAAUUUGAUAGGGUUUUUCAGUGCCUGACUGUGCCCAGUUUGUUUAACAUGUCUCAGAGUAGCGGUUUCUGAUUUGGCCCCAGUAACGUUGUCUAUGUUAUGUUUAUGUUAUGUCAUAAUGAUAAUGUGUUAUCAUUAAUUUGACUGCAAGUGGAGAUAGUCUUUUUGGAAUGGAUGAAUACAUCGGCUUUAUACUUUAACUGCUUAAGGGAGAUUAAAAUUUUAGACCUUUUUUUAAGAGAAAAUCUGGCAAGAAAGUGAAUCAUACAGGUACUGUGAACAGACAUGUCUAUCCUGACUUUUUCUAUCUAAAUUAACCUUACAGAGAUUUUUUGGAGCUAUUGUCUAAAAUGUUGCAUUGUAGAUGUUGAGGAGGACGUCAGAGAAAAUAGAAAUGAUGAUUACUAUUCUUCCCAGUGAAAAUGGGCAAAUGGGCUAUUAACCCAUUUAAUCGUACGAUUAAAUUAUAAAUGUCUAUCAGCAUUUUGUAUUUGCAUAGGAUAUAAAUGUCUAUCAGCAUGCACUGGACCAGGUGGGAGUCUAUACAUCUGGGAGUCAGGGAGUGGGAUUUUUGGUUGUGUGGUUUUUGCUUUUAUUUUUGUAUUUAAUCCUUUCUCAACUUUGCAAACAACAAGGCUGACAUCCCUUCUGUAAUGUGUGGUAUUUUAAGACCUCAAAUGUCACCCAUUGCCUUGCCCUUUUGAUGAAUUUGUGCAUUCUGUGAAUGCUUAUGAAUCAGAGAGCAGAGGAAAACGGUGUAUUCGCUUCAGUGAAUUUAAAUAAAAAAACCCUGUGGUUACUGAUUACAGCAAAUACUCACCUUCUGUGUUUUUGUAGAAAUCACUUGGAGGUUCAAGUAUUUAAUCAUGUCAUAGGAUUUUAAGAGAGCCUAAUGGCUGGAUUCAGCGUGCAUGCUGUAGGUGCCAACGUGGUCUGUAGGCAGAACCAGUAUCUCUAAGGAGCGCAUCAGAGCAUUCAGGUGAGGCAUCUGCCUCCCUGCAUUGGCGAUACGGAGAGUUUUGGGUUGCCUCUGCGGUUGCAUGUACUUUUGGCAAUGCAGGGACCUGGCCAGUCUGCACCUCAGACUGUUACCCUCCUUUAAGACUGGGAUGGAUAGUGGGAGGAGCGGGACUCUGAGGGUGUCUGUGAUACGGACGGCCAGCAUGCUGGGACUGAAUACUGGAUAAAUCAGCUGUCUUUUGAUGGUAAAUGGUCAGGAGAGGUUGUCUUGACUUGAACUUGAUUCUGAUCCUCUUUGUUUCUGGUGGCAGUCAUAUACAUGGGGCAAAGGCUUUUACCAUUCAGCUGGUGGUUUGCUUUUU